UACGGAGGGUGCGAGCGUUAAUCGGAAUUACUGGGCGUAAAGCGCACGCAGGCGGUUUGCUAAGUCAGAUGUGAAAGCCCCGGGCUUAACCUGGGAACUGCAUUUGAUACUGGCAGACUAGAGUAUGGGAGAGAGAAGUAGAAUUCCACAUGUAGCGGUGAAAUGCGUAGAGAUGUGGAGGAAUAUCAGUGGCGAAGGCGACUUCUUGGCCCAAUACUGACGCUCAGGUGCGAAAGCGUGGGGAGCAAACAGG
rnacentral:rRNA from 1 species